rnacentral:hammerhead_ribozyme from 1 species
AUCCAGCUCACGAGUCCCAAAUAGGACGAAAUGCGCAUCCUGGAU